UACUUUCUAACUUACAACUUCAUUAUUAUUUUGAAGUGGAAAAUUGAGGCAAGAAUGCAGCAAGAGGAGGAACUACCAAAAAAAAAUCUAUCCAUGAUAUACAUUAAUUUCACUCCAUAUGCAGACAAUUAUGUGCCAUCAUGUACCCCUGCUCCCCGCCCCCCACCACCACACACGGUCUCAGUCAGGCAAUGGUGAUACAUGUCUUUAUCCCAACAGGCAGAUCUCUGAGAAAGAGGCCUGGUCUACAGAGUGAAUUCCAGGACAGGUGGGACUACACAGAGAAACCCUGUCUCAAAAAGCUAAAACUCAAACCAAACCAAAACAACCACCCCCCAUAACAACCCAACCAAAAACCAAACCAAAACAAAACAAAAACCAAAAACAACCAAACAAACCAAACAACAACAACAACAACAAAAACAAACAAAACCCUCAAUUCUCACUAUGUAUCCCUGGCUGACCUGAAACUUGUGACUUAGACCAAGCUGACCUUGAACUCACAGAGACCCACCUGCCUCAGCCUCCUAAGUGCUGGGAUAAAAGACAUACAUCACCCUAUCAUGCUCAGCAAACAAUAUACAUACAUACACAUACAUACAUACAUACAUACAUACAUACAUACAUAUAUACAUACAUACAUACACCUACAUACAUACACCUACAUACAUAUACACCUACAUACAUAUAUACAUACAUACACACACAUACAUCUACAGGGUCUAAAAUGCUUCUGUCUCAAUACACCCCACUUCUGGGGAUGCAUGCAAUGGGAUGAGGUUGAGUCCAAGGCAAAUGAAGCAAAGAUUUAUUUAUUAAUUUUGAGCCUGGAAGCAGAAUGAUCUAGACAGAAGAAUUUUACUUUUAAAAAGGUUAUGCUCAUAUUUAGCUACCCAAUGUGCUUGACUAACAAGAGCUUCCAAAAAGUUUUAACUUAAUUCUAUUAUUUUAUGUGUAUGAGUGUUUUGUCUGCAUGUACGUCUAUGUUCCAUGCGUGUGUCUGGUACUCUUGGAGGUCUGAAGAGUGCCCCAGUUUUCUUGGAACUGGAGUUUUGUAUGGUUGCGAGCUGCCAUGUGGGUUCUUUGAGUUGAACCCAGAUUUGCUGGGAGAAUCCUGGUUGAUGUUACCUGUUAAGCAAUCUCUUCAGACUGCAUAGCUUUAUUAAGAGAACUACUUCGAUUCUUGAUCUUUGUCAGUUAAAGAAUCAAAUCUACUUCUCUACCAAGAUGGGACGCAAAGUUGCAGUCUCUAUAUUUGGUACAGCAUGCAGUUAAAAAACAAAACCAAACCACCCACCCAACCAAACAAACCACCACCACCACCACCACCCUUAACGCUGUCUUCUCAAUACAGAGAGCAUAAUGCAUCUUUAUUGAGUUGAGCAGAGAUCCGUUCAAUCCCUGGAGAAUUUUCUUCUCAUUUGUUUUGAGUCAGGGUCCCCCUAUGUUGUCUUGACUGGCUGGCCUUGAGCUCACAGGUGUCUGCUAGCCUUUGCCUGAGUGCUGGGAUUGAAGGUGUGCGCCAUGACACCUGGAAAAGAGGACUUCCUUAUAAUUCAUUCCAGUGAAAGCACUGAGCAAGACCAUGCUGCUGUUUGUCAGGGGUGGCAGGGAAGGGACACUUAGAUUCUACUAGAAUCACUCAAAUCAUUGUUUUCCAACAGUGAUUGCACAAAUGGAACCACCCUAGAAACUUUUUAAAUAUCUGCAUCAUAAUCAUCCAAGAAGCGCCUUCCUUUGCAGACACAAACAUGCCAUUUACAACUAUAAUGUCUGGUAUUUCUUGGAAAUGAGUCAUGGUAGCCAUGUUAUCCUGAGAUGAGAGCGGUCACUGGGAGAGCCGAAUUGCUUGCUGUUUGAUUGUCCCCUUUGAAACUCAGCAAACCACAAUAUGCCUUCUGUAAGUAACAUUCAGACACACUAAGAUAAAAAUGAGUGCCAGGAACAGUAGAACAUCAGUACAGAAAAUAGUGCAAAACUCACUUACAUGUCCAAAUUAUUUUCCUUUAAAAAAUGGUAUUAUUAUGUCAGGUAAUAUUUAUAUAGCAGAUUAUCAAUUCUUUACUUGCUUACUGAAUUUAUCCAAAUCUUGUCUUCUGUUCUUCUGUGGUGUGUGUGUGUGUGUAAGUGUGUGUAUGUGUGUAUGUGUGUGUAUGUGUGAACAUACCAUGCUGAUGAUGCACAUGUGCAGGUCAGAGGACACUUGGUGAACCCAUUCCUUCUUUCUACCACAAUGGCCCUAGGGAUCCAACUCAUCAAGCUUGGGGACAAGUGCCUUUACCACAGAACCGUCUUUCCAGCUCAUCUCUUCAGUUUUGAUAUUACAAGAUGUUCAAAAUAUGAAAGCAGCCAUUGAGAAAACGAUUUUGCUGAUCCAGAUUGAUAAAUAUGAGAAGCUGGUUCUGCCCGUAGUUUUAUUUCAUAUGUCAGGAUGAUGACAAUAUACCUUCCAGGAUGACAAAAUACCUUCCAGGAUUAUAGUCUCUGGCAGUCACCAGGUGAUGGCUGGGGAUGUGGCUCAGUAGUAAAGCUCUUACAAACCACCCCCCACCCCCCUAAUUUAUCUGGAGAAAUCUUUGAAUCACAGACCCAAGGGUUCCUCCAGAAUAUUCCUAUUUGUAUUUUGUACAUAUCCCAUUUGAUCUGAGACUGAGCUGCUAGUAAACAUGAGGGUAGUCAGUCAGCCACUCUAUUGUUCCAGCUUAUCAAUCACAGGUAUCCAUUUGAGGAUUCAAGGGGGUCUCUUCCCUCCCUAUACCAAUACCAUCCCAGGGUAAUGAUUAGAGUGCGCAUAUUUGCACUGGGAAGUAGUAGGGAGAAUUAUAUUAUUGGGCACAGCUUCCUUCAUUGGAUGAAACACUCUAUCUUGUUGACAAGAUUUACUCAUCCCUAAAUACUUUGAAAAUAACCUGCUUCAUGAGUUACACAGCACAGGUACCAUUCCUUCCUCAUUCCUAACUCACAGAUGAAGAAAUCAGAUCUCUUACAGGCAAAACAGCUCAUCAUAGGUUUCCCAGGGAGAAAGUUGCAGAAGAGAGAUCUGAAGCAGCAUGGAAAGCAAGGUGUGGUGGCUCACACCUGUAACUGCAGCACUCAGGAGGCAGAGACCGGGAGAUCACUACAGAUUCAUGGCAAUCACGAGCACCAGGAACAUAAAUUUUCUUAUCUGAAAAUGAGCAGGUUACUGCUGUACCAAUUUCGAACAUCUUUCUGUGUUGAAUGCUUGCAAAAGCAUUAGUCAGUUAGCGUUUUGGUGGACUCGGAGAUGGGGAAAAGAGGAACAGGGCUAAUCCUCAAGGCCCCAGAGCCAAGCUUCCAUCUGAGAAGCAGCCAAGAGCUUCUGAAGCAGUCCUAUGACUCACGGGAUGGAGCCACAGCCUCGUGCUGUGCAAAUCAGCUCUCCAGCUCCAAGCAGAGGCUCAGCCCUGGCAGGAAGGCACUUCCAAGGAAUUCAGAUCUUCUGCCAACAGGAUCACUUGAGUCAUCUUUCAACAUCACAUUCCAACCCCAGUGUUCAUGCUGAGUCCUCCUGUGUUCAUGGGGAGACUGGCCUGGCUUUGGCUGUCUGCAGAUUCACAGUAUCAGAAUGUUACCCAGACAUCCAGAAAAUGUUAAGUACUUCUCACCUACCAACAACUGCUUUUCAGCUUCUCUUAAAAACUAUAGCUGUCUCUUGUGAGGCCAUGCCAGUGCCUGGUAAAUACAGAAGUGGAUGUUCACAGUCAUCUAUAGGAUGGAACACAGGGCCCCCAAUGGAGGAGCUAGAGAAAGUACCCAAGGAGCUGAAGUGGGUCUGCAACCCUAUAGGUGGAACAACAAUAUGAACUAAUCAGUACCCCCAGAGCUCAUGUCUCUAGCUGCAUAUGUAUCGGAAGGUGGCCUAGUCAGCCAUCAUUGGGAAGAGAGGUCCCUAGGUCUUGCAAACUUUAUAUGCCUCAGUAAAGGGGAACUCCAGGGCCAAGAAGUGGGAGUGGGUGGGUAGGGGAGCAGGUAUAGGGAACUUUCGGGAUAGCAUUUGAAAUGUAAAUAAAGAAAAUAAAAAAAAAACAAAACAAAAAAACCUAUUCCCAGUAUGAAAACAUUUAUUCUUUUCUUUCUGCUUAACAGUGUUGUUUGACUAGUGUAAAAAAAUAAACCUCCAACCACCAAUAAAAGCCAACAAAGCAAACCAAUGCCCUGUGCAAGUGUUCCUAUUCUCCAGCAGACCAAGUGCCACGAAUGUGUCAUUUUGUCACUUUCACAGGUGC
rnacentral:lncRNA from 1 species